rnacentral:tRNA from 1 species
GGCAAGAUGGCCGAGUGGUCUGAGGCACUAAAUUUAGUAGUCACCUUAUGACUUAAUCUCUCGGGCGCGAGUUCGAACCUUACUCUUGUCA